AAAUUUAAAUCUAUUACAUAAUUUUAAUAUAAUAUUUUAAAACAUAAUAAUUUUAUUUAUUGCUUUGAAUAAUUAUAUUUUAUGAUUUUAAUCGUCUAUUAUAUCAUAGUGUAUCAUAUAAACAAAUUCAAUAUUUAUAACUAAUUAGACUUAUAUUAUGAAAGAAUUAUACUAAUAAUUUAUGAAUAAAUUAUUUUUAUAGUUUCAUUUAUAUGUUAUAUAAAUUGAUUAUGAUGCGUGAUUUUUUAUUUUAUUAUUUAUUACUAAUAAAUAUAAAAGUAUUUAAUGUGUUAAUACGAAAUCUAUUAGAAAAUCUUUUGGAAAAUCUAUUUUGGUUAAGAUUUGAUUAAGAAAAAUAUUAUUUAAAUUAGGAAAAUAUAUUAAAUGUUUAAAUCUAUUACUUAAAUUAGUAAAAGACAAGCAUACUUAAAUAUAAGUUUAAUAAAUAUUUCAGUGGCAUUCUAAUAUAAAUAAAUGGUAAAACUAAGAUGUAUUUCUAUUUUAAUAAUAUAGACUAGCUUUUGACCCGCGCGCCUGCGCGGAUGCAUGUCCGAUGUAAUCAAAUGUUUUUCGUAGUUUUAAAAUCAUUCAUGUUAGUGUUUCAUAUGUUAUUGAGUUUUGACAUUAGUGUAUCUUGUUUAUUUUGUUUAAUGUACAUUUAUAAAGUAUGAGGUUUUAUUCUUCUUAUUUUGUAAUAAUUUUGUUUUGCUUGGUAAACUAAACAUAAAGUGUAUAAUAUUAGAGGAUUUAGUUGAGGUUUAAUAGUUUUAUUAAAGAAGAAAAAUUAAAUUUUGUGAUUUAUAUCAUAUUUUUAAGUUUUGUUUAUAUAGGUUUUAGUAAAAAUAAAUAUGAUAGCAACUAUAAACCAAUUGGAAAAGUAACCACAAAAAUAUAUAUAUCUCUCGUAAUUAUAUUAACAAAGCAUAAUUAGAUGAAUUGAUUUGAGCCAUUUGGUUGUGAUAUUUAAAUUAGUAUCAUUUGUAACCCAAACAAUAGUGGACCUAAAAAACAAAUGAAAGCCCAUUGAAUUUUUUUUCCGGGAAGAAAACAUAAACCAUCUGCCUUCUAUGUGUUUUUUUUUCCCCGUAGAAACUUUGGGAACUUCUACCGAUCUCCUCGUCGGUGCUAUCUGUUGUUCUAGCGAGAUCUACAGACACGCCUAUGAUUGUUUCACAAAAAGGAUUUCUGAAGAUAGAUCUACUCAUUACUAUGGCAGAUCAUGGCAUACAGGUUUGGAAGACGAAGACCCUUCUCUCUGAUAGAUAGAGGCCGUAGCGUGUAUAAUCAAGUCUUCAAACCUCGUCGAAGUAAACGAUGAGUAAUUACUAACAGAAGGUCGUCUUUGUUCGUGUUUAUUCAAAGAAACAGAAGGACAUGGGAGAGAAGGAUUUAUAGAAAAGCCCAGGGAGAGUGAUGGUGUCGGAUAGAGAUGAUCAUCAAUUGUAAAAUGACAUAGCAAAGGGAAGGCACAAUGAUCAUUUAGUGGAAAGUAUCAAGUACCAGUAGUGAAGAUGAAAAAGAAGACAACAACCAAGACAUGACAACAGACUUACUACACGGUUAGUAAUCACUUCUCUAUUGUAACUAAUUACUAAUGUGAAAGAAAAGUAGGACUGUCUAGAAAACAUGUUUAGAUUAGAGAACCCCGGAAUGUCUUGGUUGUUAUUAUGCAGGAUAUAGUACUUGAUAAAUAUUAAAGGGAUCAUGCUUACGGUUAGAAAGGGCAGAAUAAUAGUUUCAGCCCUUUAAUAUAAGGGCUAUGAAUUUAUUUACCCAUUGGUCUGCUAAAACCAUCUCAAAGGUAUCUCCAAAAGGGGUAUUCUGCCUCCACGAAUGUAAGCACUUAACUUGACCUCGCCAGUUAUUCUUGAAAGGCCUUAGUUUUGUGAGAGGAUGGAAAGUUGUAAUUGCAGACAUUUUUGGAGGAUUUGCUUUGAAUGAUACGAUGUUGAAGCUAUAGAGGUAGAGGUAUAUAUACGUAGUUAGUAAAGGGCUGAAACUCACGCAUAGUAAGUAAUACCUAAGAUUUUGUUAGUUGUGAUUUUUUUUUGUAUUAAAUAGCGGAUCAAAGUCUAUAUGCUUUUAUUCCAAGAUUGAUCCGUUUGUUAGUUGCUUAUAGAAUAUAGGUUUUGAGAUAUUAGAUUGUUUACGGCAAGAUUUGUUACAAAAAUUGAUAUCGAAUUUUAUGAUAGUUGCUUAAAUAUAGGAAUAUAUUAUGGAAACAAAUUAUUUAUAGGUUAAUAAUAAAUGUUUGACAUGAUUUGGACGAUUAGAAACUUAAAAAAGUAUUUUCUGGUAGUUUAUUGAUAUCGAAUUUGCUUAAAUAUAUGGAUAUAUUUUGUAAGGUAAGUUGUUUUGGCAAAUAAUAAAUGAUUAGUUUUGAUUUUCACUUUUCACAUAUAUUGAAAAAAUCGUAUUCUAUUCUGUAAGUUAAUAUUGAACCGGAAUUACAUGAUUUAUACGGGUUUAUUGAUAUAAACUAUGAUCGUUUGGUAUGACAUAUAUUUGUAUCUGUCUAAUAAACUGGUUUUGAUUCUGCAGACCAAAACUACUAAUCUGAUGCACUGAAGUAAGGGAGUAUGACAAUGAUAUACAACGGUAUGAAAUAGGUAAACAGCAAUUGUAUUUUUAUUGUUUUGUGAUGUAGAUGUUUAGUAAUGGUUUGUAAUAGAUGGUUUAGUAGUAAGAUAAAACGUCUGUGUUUAAUGUAAUGCAUAGAACGAUAUGUUAGGAAGUGGUAGGAUGUGGUUUAAUUUAAUGGUACGAUAAGUAAGGAAACAUGUUUCUCGGUUUAAUAAUAAACGUAUUUCUCGGUUUAGUAGAGGAUGAAACUCUAAGUUUAAUGUCAGUGGCAUUCUGUGGUAAUAUUUGAGGAAAACUAAGGGGGAAGUACAAACUGUACUCCUGUUUUAAUAGUUUAGAUAUGAUUGGGUAGGUCGGUGAUUCCAAAACUAGGCCCGUUAGGCCCUUAAAAUCAAGUUUAAAUAUUAAAAUUAAACCAGGGUUUCAUAGCAACCGACCACCAUGAGCAUCUCCAAAAAGAAACUUUAUUUUGAAGUUUCCAAAAUUUUAUAUUUGAAGUUUAAAGGGUUUUUCUUCAAAAGCAAAACUUCAAACUCAACUUUAAAAGUAUUUAUAUUUUAUAAUAUAGUCUUUAUAUUUGUCAUAACUAAUUUGAAUUCAUAUAACCUUUAUAAAGAACUAG